UACGAAGGGUGCAAGCGUUAAUCGGAAUUACUGGGCGUAAAGGGUGCGUAGGCGGUUCGUUAAGUCUGCCGUGAAAUCCCCGGGCUCAACCUGGGAAUGGCGGUGGAUACUGGAUAGCUAGAGUGUGUCAGAGGAUGGUGGAAUUCCCGGUGUAGCGGUGAAAUGCGUAGAGAUCGGGAGGAACAUCAGUGGCGAAGGCGGCCAUCUGGGACAACACUGACGCUGAAGCACGAAAGCGUGGGGAGCAAACAGG
rnacentral:rRNA from 1 species